ensembl:lncRNA
AUUUUCUCCCUGUCUUUUGUAUCUGUGUUCCCGCCUUUGGCUGAACACACCUGCAGAAAUCAACCACCUCUCCCAGAUGAUCUGAUCAGGAGGCCACCACAUAGGGUGGCGCCUGAGGCUCAUUCUUUGCUGAACUUUGCAGUUAGUUCAGAGCCGGUUUCUUAAUCUUGUGUGUAUGUCUUGCCUUUUUCUCAUGCAAGUAAUCCCAUUGUUCUUUUCCUCGGAUACAGACCUCUGGAUUUUUCCAUGCUCUGGAGUGUUUGGAGAGACUGCCUGAGUUGAGUGAAGAGAAUUGUAUUGUUUGGACCCCUGCAGCACCUAUGGAGGCCAAUUGCAGCCAACAAUCAAAAACUGAUUUUGAAAGCUGGGCUCCCGCCCUCGGCCCACGCACAUGCGGUGAAUCCACCUGAUGACCUGGACUCCUGGGCUAUUUAAGCUGAGACUCAGAAGGCUUCUUGGCUGGAUCGUUGAGUUACUCUCGUUCUCGGACUCGUCUGUACCCCCG